GGGUUAGUGGUCUAGUGGUAUGAUUCUCGCUUAGGGUGCGAGAGGUCCCGGGUUAAAUUCCCGGCUAACCCC
rnacentral:tRNA from 1 species